rnacentral:rRNA from 1 species
GCGCACCAGUCGCGAAACUUUACAAUGUGCGAAAGCACGAUAAGGGAACUCUGAGUGCCUCCUAAGGAGGCUGUUCAGGUGUCUAAAAGCACCUGAAGGAAGGGCUGGGUAAGACCGGUGCCAGCCGCCGCGGUAACACCGGCAGCCCAAGUGGUAGCCACGUUUAUUGGGUCUAAAGCGUCCGUAGCCGGCUGGGUAAGUUCCUUGGGAAAUUUGGCUGCUUAACAGUCAAGCUUUCAGGGAAUACUGCCCGGCUUGGGACCGGGAGAGGUCAGAGGUACUCCGAGGGGGUAGGGGUGAAAUCCAUUAAUCCGUUGGGGGACCACCGGUAGCGAAGGCGUCUGACCAGGACCGGGUCCGACGGUGAGGGACGAAGGCUAGGGGCGCGAACCGGAUUAGA